GGAGGGGUGGCCGAGUGGUCGAAGGCAACGGUCUUGAAAACCGUCUCAGGCGCAAGUCUGACGUGGGUUCGAAUCCCACCCCCUCCG
rnacentral:tRNA from 1 species